rnacentral:sRNA from 1 species
AAAAAAAACACAAAAA